AUGAACGCUGGCGGCGUGCCUAAUACAUGCAAGUCGAACGCUUCACUUCGGUGAAGAGUGGCGAACGGGUGAGUAAUACAUAAGUAACCUGGCAUCUACAGGGGGAUAACUGAUGGAAACGUCAGCUAAGACCGCAUAGGUGUAGAGAUCGCAUGAACUCUAUAUGAAAAGUGCUACGGGACUGGUAGAUGAUGGACUUAUGGCGCAUUAGCUUGUUGGUAGGGUAACGGCCUACCAAGGCGACGAUGCGUAGCCGACCUGAGAGGGUGACCGGCCACACUGGGACUGAGACACGGCCCAGACUCCUACGGGAGGCAGCAGUAGGGAAUUUUCGGCAAUGGGGGAAACCCUGACCGAGCAACGCCGCGUGAAGGAAGAAGUAAUUCGUUAUGUAAACUUCUGUCAUAGAGGAAGAACGGUGGAUAUAGGGAAUGAUAUCCAAGUGACGGUACUCUAUAAGAAAGCCACGGCUAACUACGUGCCAGCAGCCGCGGUAAUACGUAGGUGGCGAGCGUUAUCCGGAAUUAUUGGGCGUAAAGAGGGAGCAGGCGGCACUAAGGGUCUGUGGUGAAAGAUCGAAGCUUAACUUCGGUAAGCCAUGGAAACCGUAGAGCUAGAGUGUGUGAGAGGAUCGUGGAAUUCCAUGUGUAGCGGUGAAAUGCGUAGAUAUAUGGAGGAACACCAGUGGCGAAGGCGACGAUCUGGCGCAUAACUGACGCUCAGUCCCGAAAGCGUGGGGAGCAAAUAGGAUUAGAUACCCUAGUAGUCCACGCCGUAAACGAUGAGAACUAAGUGUUGGGGAAACUCAGUGCUGAAGUUAACACAUUAAGUUCUCCGCCUGGGGAGUACGCUCGCAAGAGUGAAACUUAAAGGAAUUGACGGGGGCCCGCACAAGCGGUGGAGCAUGUGGUUUAAUUCGAAGCAACGCGAAGAACCUUACCAGGUCUUGACAUCCGAUGCAUAGUGCAGAGAUGCAUGAAGUCCUUCGGGACAUCGAGACAGGUGGUGCAUGGUUGUCGUCAGCUCGUGUCGUGAGAUGUUGGGUUAAGUCCCGCAACGAGCGCAACCCUUAUCCUCAGUAGCCAGCAGGUCAAGCUGGGCACUCUGUGGAGACUGCCAGGGAUAACCUGGAGGAAGGUGGGGAUGACGUCAAAUCAUCAUGCCCCUUAUGACCUGGGCUACACACGUGCUACAAUGGACAGAGCAGAGGGAAGCGAAGCCGCGAGGUGGAGCGAAACCCAUAAAACUGUUCUCAGUUCGGACUGCAGUCUGCAACUCGACUGCACGAAGAUGGAAUCGCUAGUAAUCGCGAAUCAGCAUGUCGCGGUGAAUACGUUCUCGGGCCUUGUACACACCGCCCGUCACACCAUGAGAGUCGGUAACACCCGAAGCCGGUGGCCUAACCGCAAGGAAGGAGCUGUCUAAGGUGGGACUGAUGAUUGGGGUG
rnacentral:rRNA from 1 species